AUUCAUCUGAUGAGUCGUAAAUAGGGCGAAACGAGCGUCCUAGAU
rnacentral:hammerhead_ribozyme from 1 species